UACGUAGGGUGCGAGCGUUGUCCGGAAUUAUUGGGCGUAAAGAGCUCGUAGGCGGUUUGUUGCGUCUAUCGUGAAAACCUGCGGCUUAACUGUGGGCUUGCGGUGGAUACGGGCAGACUUGAGUUCGGUAGGGGAGACUGGAAUUCCUGGUGUAGCGGUGAAAUGCGCAGAUAUCAGGAGGAACACCGGUGGCGAAGGCGGGUCUCUGGGCCGAUACUGACGCUGAGGCGCGAAAGCGUGGGGAGCAAACAGG
rnacentral:rRNA from 1 species